rnacentral:rRNA from 1 species
GUGCCAGCACGCCUGCGGUGAGAUUCCAGCUCCAAUAGCGUAUAUUAAAGUUGUUGUGGUUAAAAAGCUCGUAGUUGAACCUUGGGCCUGGCUGGCCGGUCCGCCUCACCGCGUGCACUGGUCCGGCCGGGCCUUUCCCUCUGUGGAACCCCAUACCCUUCACUGGGCGUGGCGGGGAAACAGGACAUUUACUUUGAAAAAAUUAGAGUGCUCCAGGCAGGCCUAUGCUCGAAUACAUUAGCAUGGAAUAAUAAAAUAGGACGCGCGGUUCUAUUUUGUUGGUUUAUAGGACCGCCGUAAUGAUUAAUAGGGACAGUCGGGGGCAUCAGUAUUCAACUGCCAGAGGUGAAAUUCUUGGAUCAGUUGAAGACUAACUACUGCGAAAGCAUUUGCCAAGGAUGUUUUCAUUAAUCAGGAACGAAAGUUAGGGGAUCGAAGACGAUCAGAUACCGUCGUAGUCUUAACCAUAAACUAUGCCGACUAGGGAUCGGACGGUGUUAUUCAUGACCCGUUCGGCACCUUACGAGAAAUCAAAGUGCUUGGGCUCCAGGGGGAGUAUGGUCGCAAGGCUGAAACUUAAAGAAAUUGACGGAAGGGCACCACCAGGGGUGGAGCCUGCGGCUUAAUUUGACUCAACACGGGGAAACUCACCAGGUCCAGACACAAUAAGGAUUGACAGAUUGAGAGCUCUUUUCUUGAUUUUGUGGGUGGUGGUGCAUGGCCGUUCUUAAGUUGGGUGGGGUGACUUGUCUGCUUAAUUGCGGUAACGAACG